UGAGUUGUGGCUCAGGGGUAGAGCUCUUGCCUUGCAUGCUUGAGGUACUGGGUUCAAUUCUCAGCACCACAU
rnacentral:tRNA from 1 species